UGACACAAAGAAGCAGGUGUGAGACCGGCCCCUUUCUCCCAUGCCUUAGACAGGGCUCCAGGGACUGCUUCAGGGGAGAUGUCAGAGGGCAGCAGGGACCGGGAAGGGAGGAAGAAAGCAGAGUGACAGUGAGAGGUGGGAAAACUACAAGAGGAAUUGUUUGUACGCUUGGAUCUGGACUUUUAGAACUGGUCAGGACCUGACAGAUCCUCCAGCCCAGUUCUCCCGGCUCUCAAACACUGGCAUCAUUUAUAAUUCCCUGGAAAAUCACCAGCAGGUAAAUGAAGGAGAAAAGAAAAGAACAAAAUCCACCGGGAACCAGAGACUUCCAGGCUCCAAAGACAGGCAAUCUCCACCAGGAAGCACAGGAGAAGCCCUGAAAAGUUAGUCUUCUGGAAGAGAAAUUUACAUCUACAAAGGAAAUCUCCAUUUGUAAGUGUGUCUUCUUCUGCACUAGGAAGAGAAGGAUGACUAAAUCAGAGAAGUCUCUUGUCAGAGAAAGCACGGACUUCAGUCUAGCAUAUGACCUAGGAGCAGGAGUGAAGGAUGGGAGUGAAGCAAGGAAGGAAAGAGAGUCGAUUACAGAGCUGUUUCGUUGAGCUGGUCACAGCUCCUGUGUCCAAUCUCGUGGGGCUGCCUGAGAUGUCUUGAAGUCAUAAGCCCAGAGAAAGAACAGAGGGGAUGCCUUUAUCCACUGGAUCCAUUUUUCCAAUGAUCAAAGGGCUGGAGUGCAGCUGAGGUCUGGCUUUAGCCAAGGAGAGCACCUUGAAACCUGGCAGAGAAUUACAGUGAACCAGAAGACUAAGUGAAGCAUGAACUGGCAUAAUGUGCUUUCCUGGCUGAAAACCAUGAAUGACCCAGA
rnacentral:lncRNA from 10 species